AUUUAUAUAGUUUAAUUAAAACAUUACAUUUUCAUUGUAAAAUUAAAAAAUUUUUAUAAAUU
rnacentral:tRNA from 1 species